rnacentral:miRNA from 1 species
AAGAGAGAAACAGAGAGAGAGAGAGAGAGAGAGACAUUAUCUAGAGAAGGAGAGGGAAAGUGUCUGAAUGGGAGUGUGUGUGUGUGUGUGUGUGUGUGUGUGUGUUAAGAAGCAGCAGGUGUUGGGUAAUAUUGGGGGCCAUUCCCACACUCUUUCUUUCCCUCUCUCGCUCCUUCUGUCUCUCUCUCU